UUAGAGAAAAAAAAUACUUACAUAAAUAAAAAAAAUUAAAGCACCUAAUUUUUUCUUUAUAUAAUUUUAAAUAAAAUUUCAAGAUUUAGAAUUAGGUUUAGUAAAGGAAAACAAGUUAAUGAAUUUCUACCAAAAAAAUUAAAUGGUCACGGAGCAAUGUUACGUAGUAGUCUCAGAAUGUAAAGGAAGGAUGCUCAUUAGUCUUGGUGCAAGUUGUGCCCGUCAAUUGUAAUAUAUAUAGUGAAGAUAAUGAAACUAAAGAGAUUUUGAAUGAACUUUUUUCGGAAGGUGAAUAUGUCAAUGACUCAACUCUUUACAAAAGUAAAUAGUUUAAUAAUGAGUGUUUUUUUAGUUGGGGCUAGUGCAGAGAUGACAAAGAAAAUGUUUGAGUGAGAGAGAUGAAGGAGAAAGGAUUGAGAGGAAUGAAGGAGGUGAGUAAGGGUUUGGGGUUUCUUUUUGUAGUUUUGAGAAUGAAAACUAUUAAAAUAAGGCAAGCGUGAUUUUUUUCAAUUGGGGCUAG
rnacentral:lncRNA from 1 species